UACGAAGGGGGCUAGCGUUGCUCGGAAUCACUGGGCGUAAAGCGCACGUAGGCGGCUUUUUAAGUCAGGGGUGAAAUCCUGGAGCUCAACUCCAGAACCGCCUUUGAUACUGAGAAGCUUGAGUCCGGGAGAGGUGAGUGGAACUGCGAGUGUAGAGGUGAAAUUCGUAGAUAUUCGCAAGAACACCAGUGGCGAAGGCGGCUCACUGGCCCGGUACUGAUGCUGAGGUGCGAAAGCGUGGGGAGCAAACAGG
rnacentral:rRNA from 1 species